GUGAUCGAAUGAAUGAAGAGAGUUUCGGGUAAUUUACGAUUCUGUUUCGAGCUAGUGUGUGUUUUUCACUCGUAGAAAGCGAAGUUAUCGAAGGUAGUGAAUCGCUG